rnacentral:misc_RNA from 1 species
CGUCAAGGUUGUUUCCUACAGCCAUUGUUCUCAGCGGUAACUGUAAUACCUGUUAAUUCCGCAUGCCACGGCCUCCUGUAGCCCCGCCGUGGAGUCAAGACAGAUAUGUGUGACGUACCAGUUGUUAUCAUGUCGGGAGAUCAAUACGACUUAUGAUGAUCAGCACACACGAACAGGAGUAAGGUGUCAGCAGUGUACUGCGUUGUCUUGGAGUUGGAACAUCAGGACAGGCUGGGACAGAUAGCGGAGACAUGCUACCUCAACCACUGGGCAGAAGGGAUGCGUUGUGAUUCUUGGAUGGCUGGAUACUUGUAGAGGUACUUGGAUGGACGAAUACUUGUAGAGGUACUUGGAUGGACGAAUACUUGUAGAGAUGACGAUCGACUCAGUGAUGUAAUGGCGGCACGAGGGCGAAGUCGGGAGACGCCAUAUCAGGAUUUUACAAGAAUUAAAAACUCUGUGUUUAUCAGGAGAGCCGCCAGGGGACAUUUGGACCGAGAUGAUCUUUUCACUGACCCUUCAUUCCCGCCGGAUUGGUCGUCCUUGACCUACGUGUACAGCGGGGAUGACAAAUAUGAAAGAACCGUUUUUAGGAGACCCACGGAAAUAUGCGAACAACCUACAUUUAUCGGUGUUGGCGGCGUGAUUGACGAGCCGUUCCCAUGGAAACAAUGGCGACAACGAGGCUGGUUCCAGGCAGCGGUGAUGAUCAUCUCGCUCAACGUGAGGUUCCUGGACAGGCUCAUUCCAGGGUAUAAAGUCUUUGAACAGAACUUCGAUUCUGAUUAUAUUGGUGCAUUCCGAUUUACCAUGUGGCGGUUUACAGAAUGGGUUGAGAUUAUCAUAGACGACCACCUACCCAUGCUGGACCACGCCCACUUCUUCUGCAGGGUCAUCGGUGCCCCGCCUGAAUACUGGGGAGCUCUGGCGGAGAAGGCGUACGCCAAAUGUAAAAAGACGUUCCAGGCCAUCGAGUACGGCAACAUGUUGGACGCCCUAACCGACCUGACAGGUUGCGUCUGUGAGUACUACACACCCGACGUCAACCCUGCCGACAACCUCUUCCACAUCAUGUACAAGUCCAGUGUCAACAGAUCCAUGAUGGUGUGUUGGCGGAACGAAAAGAGGCUGACUUCCACUGGCUUUGACUUAGAGGAUAGUCAGAAAGCGCACAACGACUACGACGAACAUGCGGCAGAGGAACGGCAUUUCCUACAUCUGAUCACAGCCACGACUAAGUUUCCCAGCACAGACGGGCGUCUGAUCGAGAUGCUCCGACUCCGGUGCCCGUUUCCCAAGGAACCAAAAUGGCAUGGAAAAUACUCCGAUAAUGACUCCAACUCUUGGAAUACCGUAACGGCAGAGUUCAAGGAGAAGUACCGACCUUUAUCCCGGAAGGAGGAUGAUGAAUAUUGGUUAACUGUGGAUGACUUCCGGUGUAAUUUCGGAGGGCUUGUGAUCAUCAGCAGCACUGAGGCGUUUAAUUACGAAGGGCUCACUGUUGGCAGAAACUAUUCUCUUGACAACGACUUUCCUUUAGGUAAAGAUCGGAAUAAGUUUAUGAUGGGCAAUCAGACCCGCCCAUGGAUCAACUUUGAAAGGUCGCCCUCUUCCUGUGAACAAGAAAUUAAGAUUUUUUGUGACUCCCGACCAAAUUCAAACAAAGUGAAGCUUCUGAAAAAGGCGCCAUUUGUGAAUAACUGUAGUGGGGGUAUGGACAUUCCAGAUAUUGACAGGACUGUUGUUCUUGACUGUACAAAAGAGCGGUUAAAAGCAGACGACAAAAGAAGAAUUACAGAAAAACAUGCAAGAUCAGUUCCUAAGGGACCACCUCAAGUGAAAGAAAGAAAGACGAGUCUGCCCCCGGAUCUGCGUGGGGCUGCAUCGCCAACAGAAAGUAUCAGAAGACAGUCGAAUCCGUGGAUGUGCAAGUCCCCCGGCCCGGUGCCCGUAGAUGGAGACAAGAGACACAAACGGGUGGGCAGUUUCGUGAAUCACAGUGAACCCUACAGCUCGUCUGAAAUAUCGCUCCACAUACGAACUGCACUCUCGGUGGACGACAGUUGCCGACCCCAGAGUGCCCCGUUGCCACGCAACCACUCAACGGGAUCACUGAGUUCACUUACGCAAAUAAACUUUUUAGCAACAAAAGCCGACUUUUUCAGAGCUCAUGGAAGGUGGCGGAACAUUCUGGAGUACAAGGACAAGUGGUCAAGUGGAAAACCGGAAAGGCGUAUCCAGAUCAAACAUCGAAGCUCAUUCCAAAAGUCCUCGGAUCCUGUUCCACGUGUCACGCGCAGACGUAUCUGAUGUCAUCAUAUCUCCCGGCAUGCAAAAUAAACGUCACGUGCUGAUAUCAGUCCUCCAAGAUUAUCGUCAUGGUCCCUCCACUGCUAACAGUCUCCUUGUUCCAGUUGGCUUUUGUAUUUACAAGACCAAGAAUCCCGAUCGAGAUGAGAAACGACACAUUUCCAAACUUCAUCUGAUUGGCGAGGUUGAGGGAAAACCGGAAAUGCGGGAAGUGAAUACACGCUUUGACCUCGAACCUGGAAGUUAUUUCAUUGUUCCCUACUAC